UUUGGAUACACUUAUGAGCAUUUGUGCCCAAUAUUCGGGUCAUUUUGGGAACUUCCCUUUUGAAGAGAACCAGUUUUAUGGUGUUUUCUCUUGCAGAGCUCUAUGCAGAGCUCCCAAGCUGGCUGCUCUUGAGCUAUAGUUAGCCUAUAGUUUAUUUGUUCCACAGUUAUUUUUCAAGUUUUUUUAAAUUAGUUGCCAACAUUUUAAAAAUCAAAAUUAUUUCACAUAAAACGCCUGAAUGUUUUUACCUUUAUUAAAAGUUGGAAUAUCAAGCAAAGCUAGCCUGCAUUCCACAUGGCACCCUUUGGCUGGAGCUGAGUUGUUGCUAUCUCCUCCAUACAGGUCAUGUGCCUUCCAGUUCAGUAAGAUCCCACCACCAUACCCCAACUUAGUAUUUGAAGGGGUAACCCCUGCUCAAUAGUCACUUGUUGUUUUGGGUGCCAGAUAGAAUGAUGUUCCCCAGGCUCAGAGCUGACAGCUCUUGGUUACUGCUAAAAAUCAGUUCAACUGUCCAAGUACCGUUUUCUACCACUGAGUAGCCCAGUAAAAGUAUUUAAAAAAAAAAAAAAAAUGUGCUAAAGGCUCAGAGACCAUCUCUGAAAGAGGAAGGCCAGGAGGAGUAUCUGAGUUUCUGCUGGAGGGGCAUAUCACCCCUCUGCUGACAGUUUUAAGAGGUACAAACUUUUGUGAAUGUAUAGAUUCUGGUGUAGUCACACAAAAAGAGUCUUAGUAAGAAUAGAGAAAUAGGCUGGGUACAGUGGUUCACACUUAUAAUCCCAACUCUUUGGGAGGCUGAGACAGUAGAAUCACUUGAGCCUAGUCGUUCAAGGCCAGCCUGGGCAACAUAGUGAGACCCCUAUCUCUACAGAAAAUUAAAAAAUUAGCUGGGCAUGAACCUGCUAUCCUAGCUACUUGGGAGGCAGAGGCAGGAGGAUCAUCUGGGCCCAGGAGUUCAAGCUUGCAGAGCAGUGAUCAUACCACUGCACUCCAGCCUGGGCAACAGAGCAAGACCCUGUCUGUUAAAAAUAAUAAUAAUAGAGAACUAAAGUUUCAAGUUGAGACGAUGAGAAUUGCUGUAAUAGAUAAGGGGAUCCUGACAUCUAGUGGACAACAUUAUAUACUGUCGACAGAAAAAACAGCCCAUGACAAGGAAGGUUACAUUUUUUCUUUUUACUUGAGAAAAACACAGUUAUAACCUCUUUUUGUUGUUAUUGUUGUUGUUGUCGUUGUUUGGAGUUAAUUAUCUUGGAAUGCUUUUUUGGAACUCAAUAGGUAGAUUUUGAUGUUUCUCAAUGAGGCUUUCUUAUGUAAAUGUUUGGAUCCAUCUUUUAUUUCCUUUUUAGACCAAUUCAAUUCUGAAUAUGCAAAAGACACUAUUGACUCUUGCAUUAUACCUUCUCAUUGAAGGAUGGAUAAUUUGGUAUGAAAAUCCUUUGCAGAUUCUGGAGGAAAUUGCUCAUGUUUUGAUUACCUUUAGCAGAAAAAUAACAAUGUAUUGCUAUCAGGAGAGGGAUUUCUGGGGAGGGGACUUAACAUGGAAAUUAUAAAUUCAUUCAUGACUUUUCUUUUUUAAAUUAGGCUUUCUCCUGUUUCUCAGAGGAUUUAUCAAUUAUGCAAAAGUUCGGAAGAUGCCAGAAACUUUCUCAAAUCUCCCCAGGACCAGAGUUCUCUUUAUUUAUUAAAGAUGUUUUCUGGCAAAGGCCUUCCUGCAUUUAUGAAUUCUCUCUCAAGAAGCAAGAGAACACCUGCAGGAAGUGAAUCAAGAUGCAGAACACAGAGGAAUAAUCACCUGCUUUAAAAAAAUAAAGUACUGUUGAAAAGAUCAUUUCUCUCUAUUUGUUCCUAGGUGUAAAAUUUUAAUAGUUAAUGCAGAAUUCUGUAAUCAUUGAAUCAUUAGUGGUUAAUGUUUGAAAAAGCUCUUGCAAUCAAGUCUGUGAUGUAUUAAUAAUGCCUUAUAUAUUGUUUGUAGUCAUUUUAAGUAGCAUGAGCCAUGUCCCUGUAGUCAGUAGGGGGCAGUCUUGCUUUAUUCAUCCUCCAUCUCAAAAUGAACUUGGAAUUAAAUAUUUUAUUGUAAGAUAUGUAUAAUGCUGGCCAUUUUAAAGGGGUUUUCUCAAAAGUUAAACUUUUGUUAUGACUGUGUUUUUGCACAUAAUCCAUAUUUGCUGUUCAAGUUAAUCUAGAAAUUUAUUCAAUUCUGUGUGAACACCUGGAAGCAAAACUAUAGUGCAAAAAUACGUUUAAGGUGUGGUCGAAAAUAAGUCUUUAAUUGGUAAAUAAUAAGCAUUAAUUUUUUAUAGCCUGUAUUCACAAUUUUGCGGUACCUUAUUGUACCUAAGGGAUUCUAAAGGUGUUGUCACUGUGUAAAAUAGAAAUGACUAGGAUACAAAUGAAGCUUAAUUACUAAAAUGUAAUUCUUGACACUCUUUCUAUAAUUAGAGUCCUUCACCCCUACCCCCACCCCCCUUAUUUUCCUUUUGUCUCAUGAUUAGGCCAAAGUCUGGGAGUAAGGAGAGGAUUAGGUACUUAGGAGCAAAGAAAGAAGUAGCUUGGAACUUUUGAGAUGAUCCCUAACAUACUGUACUACUUGCUUUUACAAUGUGUUAGCAGAAACCAGUGGGUUAUAAUGUAGAAUGAUGUGCUUUCUGCCCAAGUGGUAAUUCAUCUUGGUUUGCUAUGUUAAAACUGUAAAUACAACAGAACAUUAAUAAAUAUCUCUUGUGUAGCACCUUUUACUGUAGUUUAGUGCUUAAUUUCUUGGCUUGCAUUUGUUGAUUGCUAAGGCAAUUUUUUCUAAUCUUAGGGAAUCAUUCAGUAGAUGCGAUUAAAAAACUAAUAUUGGGUCAAAUUUUUUUCUUCAUUUUCAGCACAAGAAGUCCUCUUAUAUCCUACUAAAUACAUUCCUAAAAAUGUAUAUGAACAUUGGUUCUGUAAAAGAUAAUGGACUAAAAAAGUAGAGAGGAGUUGUAGAGAUCUUAAAUCAUUCUGGAAUUCCUAAUUAUGCUUCAAUUUUUAGACAUAAUUUUAGAUAAUUUAUUUCCAGUGUUUUGUGCAUGUUCUCAUUUGUUCUUUUUCUCAGUUGAAUGCACCAACUGGUUUGAGUCCUGUGAGCAUUCAGUCAGUUGAAAUUAAAGAUUCCUCAUUUCUCCUGAUUUCUAUUCUUGUCUCGAUCUUAAAUUUAGAGACCAGUGGUUUUUAUGAUAUCAGCCAUUUGAUUUUUUUCAUUUUCUAUUUAAGAAAUAUGAAGAAAAAAUACACCAAGAUGGUUAAAUUACUACACAAAUCAGCACCAGCACAGUCUGAUAGCUGCAAAUGUCCAUUCAUAUGCUGUGUAUGAAUAUCCAGAAUCAGCAUAGGAAGUCGUUUAGGAUGUCAGUAUAUAAUGCACAGAAGUGUGGGUUGUUUGAAAGCCAAACAGGAAAAUUAGGAGCCUCCUGGAUUGACAUUUCAAUGAUCCCUCUAACCAGUUUAUGGAGUCUUAUGAAUAAUAGUGUAGUGUGUUCUUGUUCAGAAGUUAUAUUUGAUAAUAGAGGAGGGAGUUUUAUGAAAGUUUCUUUGAAGGGUUUUUUUUUUACAUUUUGAAUCAGAUUAUACCAACAAUGGAGUUUGGAAGUUUGUAUGGCCUAUAAUGUUCUAAGUUCCAGAAUGAAAGGAUCUGUAACAAUCUGAAUAGAUGUGGACACAUAUAGCAGAGAGAACUAUGUAAAUUAUCUUGCAGAACAAAAUAGAAGGGUCCUAAAUCACAUUAACUCAAACAUUGUAGACUAGCUUUGUGUUUAUUCUUCAGGUCCUUGUGCCUUAUUUGGUUUUGUAUAUUCAAUGAACUGAAAUAUUUGGAAUUCCUAUUUCUACGUAUUUGGUGGUCCAUAAGACUUUGUCAAAUGUAAACCUACAGUUUGAUACGCUUUAAAAUACCUAGUCAAGAGGAUGAUUUCUCUUUAAUCGUUUAAAUGUUCUGAAAAUUAAAAUCUUUUGAGGCACAUAAAGUUGGCACCAUAUAUCAUCUAGAGUCCUUACUGGUAUUCAGGAUGAAAGUGUUCAUGCUGCAUUGUUAAUUCUCAUUUUUCUCUCCCAUGUUCUUUCUCACUUUGAUAACGUUAAUACUGAUAAUGGAUAAAGGGUGAGUUUUUAUAAUAAAUGGUUUUGGAAAGGU
rnacentral:sRNA from 1 species